rnacentral:lncRNA from 1 species
AGGCGGCCAGCAGCCUCCGCGGGAGCAUGCCGCCUCCCGCAGGGCCCGCCGCGAGCUUCCGGGGCCCAAGGAACCAGUCCGGAGGGGCGCAGGCGGUGGUCGCAGCGUCCCCCUAAAUGGCCGGCCACGAACCCGUCUCACGGUCCCGCGGCCAGGAGCCGCCGCUCAUCUGUCUCUGCAGCCACCGCUGAGGAAGAGUCUCCUCUGAGGGGAGAGUCGGUCAUGGCAGCAGACGCCGGGAUGGCUCCGCGACUGCUACACCAGGCACUCCUGGGCCCGGGCAGCAGACCAGUCAGCCCUGUGGCUCCUCGGCGACCUCCAGCGGGCGCCCGGGGCCGGGAUGCAGGGCGCGCGGACAGAAACGAGACAGACAGCUCAGGCCCAGCAGCACGCAAGCUCCCGCGCCUUCCGCGACUGCCACACGCGCGGCGCGCGCGCACCCUACUUUUUCUCCGCCACCUGGGCCGUGAUUGGGCGCGACCUGGGCUCCUGGGUGCUCAUUGGCGCCGUGAAGUGCUCGUCACCGCCCCCUCCUGCCCCUUCAUGCAUGCGCGGAGGCCGCCUGCUAGCAAGGUUCCCACGUAACAUCACAUCAGACCCAAGGGCCCGUUCAUUGCAAGGCGAAGGAGGCAUGACAAUGGCACGUGACCAUGGGAUCACUGGUCCUGUCACAUUCUGCACCACCCAGAAGAUACUGGCUUGAACGAAGAGAAGAAAUGGGCUGUUGAAGGCGUAGCUGAGAUGCCAGCUCAGAGACGAUGAUACCAAGUGCUGAACCUGAGAGCAGCCCCAGUACACUCCCUGCAUGGGAAUCUCCAUCUCAAAGUCAGCCUCCAGGGAGCCCGCCCUGAAACAGAUUCUGUCAUGGAACUCAACAGAGUAUCCUGGUGCGGAUAACCAGUGUUGGGAGUUAGAGCACGGACUCUCUCCACCUGCACGGUGCUGGAGCUCUGCACACCCCCUCUGCAGCCAUCCCUCGCCGCUGUCCCUUAGCUGACGCCCUUGCCCUCUGUGUGUCCUUCCUCAUGGCCUGCAGGUUUCAGAUCCCAAGCUACAGAUCAUGUCUUCUAGUCUGGGCUCUGGCAGAGAGUUCGGAAGCACUCUUAUUAUCUUAGCAGCAGCAUGUGUGGAAAUCAUUUCUCAUUACAGCGGAGGGCAGGCAUUGUGCAGAGGGUUAAGUGGGCCUGCUUGAAGUUGGUUGUUGUUAGCUCUCAUGUCUAUGCCUUGGUCCCUUUCCCCUCAGGACUUGGAGAGCAAGCUGUUUGAGUCUGAUGCAACCCCUGGGCUUUGACUAUCAUGCCAAAAGGCAGCAAAUAAGUGCCUUUUCUUCCCUUCAGAAUACAUGGACAAUCCAAAGCUCUAUUAGUCUAUUAUUCAGAAUGAAAAGUGUUUACAAUAUUCGUCCUCUUACUCCUCAGUAUGUGAGACUGUUCCUCGUAGCAGGUAAUUUCUUCCGAAUUCAAAAACUCCUCAUGGAAGCAUCUGUUUUUGUCAUCAAGGAGGGGGCUGUAUGUGGAAUUGCAAGGCCAAAGACAUCUCGGGUCAACUCUUCUCAGGACCAGAUCCAAGUCGCCAGUGAGAACACACAUUCAGGCAGCCUCCACCAGCGCCCUGCCUCAGGAGCGAGGCUCCCUGCUUCAUGUGGGCAAGAGCUGCCCUUGUUUUCCCAGCGGGCAGUUGGGGGUCUGGAGCCUAGGAAGCAAAGUGAAGCACACACUCCUGCUUCCUUCCUUCCCUGCAGUUGGUGAGUAUCUGGCUCAGUUUAGGUUAAUAUCAUCUCUUCAGCCUGGCCCAGUUUACCACUAUGGGAAGGAGCCCAGCAGCAGGGGCUGCCAGACCUGGAAAUAGAUCUGCUCAUUGCAGUGUGGCAGGUGCAGAGAAACAGAGCCAGCUAUAGCUGGAAGAGAAUCUUAGGGCACAGAGAUGCACCAACAUGUAUGAACAAGUCGAGACCCAAGUACCAAGCUGUAGAGUUACUGCACCAUAGCAACCCAGGCCAGCAGGCAAGGCAAGAGGGCAGUUAUUACAGAGAGCCAUGGGGCAAGAGUGGAGCCACCUUGACAGUGGGGGUGACCAGAAGCCACAUCUAGGAGUGUUGGCCCAGAGUCUCUGCAUUUCCUCCUGCUCAGGACCUUAAGAGAGGCCCAUCUUAAAUGCCACUGUCUCCAUGAGCUUUUGGAAACCUUACCAGUUUCCUCCCCUGUUCAGGGAGUUCCACUAGGGUAACAUUCCUGCCUUCUCUCCACCCCUCUAUUACUUUGCCCCAGGGAAAAUAAAAGAUGACUGCUUGGAUAGGUAGGUGGGGAGGGGAAACUGGUCCUGUGUAGGCCAGUGGGCCCCUCCAUCACCUUGGGGGUGAGCUGCAUGCAGGGUAUAAAAUCCCACUGCUCUCGCUGAGGGGGCUGCACUCCUGCAGGACUAAAGGAGGCUUUCUCUGGUUGAGGGCUACCAUGGCUGGGCGGGUGAGCCUGCCUCCUAGUGGGAUUUGCAUUAGCAGCUCACUUAGUUCACAGGUCUAAAGCUGUGUCCUCCAGCCCAGCCCUCUAGCAGUAAUUAAGAGGAUAUUUUGGUUCCUGUUGCCACUCCUUUGUUUUAUUUCUCAGGGCCCUCAAAGACACCCCAGAAUAGAUUUCCUGUCCCCUUUAAUCUUGCCCUUCUUUGAGUCCCCAUUGCAUUUUAUGGUAUAUUUCUAGCAUGACCUUUCAUUCUUUCAGUAAUUACCUCCUUAUUUCCUUCACCCCUGCAUUUAAAAAAAAAUUUUAUAGAUGAGGUCUCACUCUGUCACCCAGGCUGGAGUGCAGUGGUGCAAUCAUAGCUCGCUGCAGCCUUAAACUCCUGGGCUCAAGCAGUCUUCCUGCCUCUGCCUCCCAAGUAGCUGGGACCACAGGUGCACAUGACCAUGCCCAGCUAACUUUUUUUUUCUUUUUUGUAGAGACGGGAGUCUUACUUUGUUGCCCAGGCUGGUCUCAAACUCCUGGCUUCAAGCAAUCCUUCCACUUUGGCCUUCCAAAGUGCUGGGAUUACAGGCAUGAGCCACCAUGCCCAGCCUCCUUCUCUUACUAGCUGAGAACUAAGAGAAGACACUCUGGAGACAGAGGAGGAAACAGUGACGAUGCCACAUGAUGAAUACAUAAUGGAGGGUGAAGACAAGGCUCCGUCAGGGGCACCAAGGAGGGAAACCCAGUUCUGUGGGGAAGGUAUGGGGCAGCUUCACAAGCCCAGUGUCUGCUCCCUUUGUGGGAGACGUGUUGUUUCAGCAUCCAUUCCCCCUUCUUUUAGGAAAAGUGCUUGAAUUUCCUUUUCAUGGAACCACCCACCUCCCUCUCAUCCAUGCAUUCUAUUCCCAGUAUCAGGGGUAGACAAGUGACUUCAGGCUUGGCCAAUUAGGGUUCUGACUCUUGGUCAAAUCAGAGUGAAUCCUGAGUCAUUUGUAAACUCCAAGGAAAGGGCUUGCUUUGUUUUCUGUUGAAUGCAGUGCUCUGAGAUAGCCGGAAAUGAAACUGCUCUCUUGCCACACUGAAGGCUAGAGAAGGGCCUGGCCAGGAAAUGAUGCCAGUGAUCAGGGGUGGAGCUGGAAGAGGGGGAGUGAGGAGGCCCAGACAUCUUGGGAGCCCCAAAUUCACCUCAGGAUUUAACUUCUCCGCUGCUCAGCCAAUAAAUUCCUUUCUUCCAUGACUAAUUUGAGUUGAGUUUUUAGUUUUUGCAACUAAAACAGCACUGACUAAUACACCCUUAGGUAAGAUUAGAGCAAGAAUUUCCAAUAUCUGUGUUCUUCAUCCUGAAAUUUGGUGAGGAUAUCUAAGGUUCUUUUGUCUUUUAAAAGAAUUCUGUUGCAAUGGAAAGUAUCAAUCCAUAUUUUUCCAUUUCUCCAAAAUGUUUUAGUGUAUAUCUAUGGGGCACAAACUUAAUCUCUGUAGGCCCUCUGCCAUAGUUGCUCUGUGCCACUUGAUAAGGGGCUGGUAUCUAGAAUAUAUAAAAACUCUUAAAACUCAGCCGGGCAUGGUGGCUCAUGCCUAUAAUCCCAGCUCUUUGGGAGGCCGAGGCAGGCGGAUCACCUGAGGUCAGGAGUUUGAGACCAGCCUGGCCAACACGGUGAAACUCUAUCUCUCUAAAAAUACAAAAAUUAGGCGGGCGUAGUGGCUCACUCAAGACUGAGGCAGAAGAACCACUUGAACCCAGGAGUUGGAGGUUUCAGUGAGCCCAGAUGGCUCCACGGCACUCCAUCCUGUGCAACAGAGUGGCACAGGAUGGCAAAAACAAACAAAAGCUCUUAAAACUCAACAAUAAAAGACAACCCACUUUAGAAAUGAGAAAAGGGCCAAGUGUGGUGGUAAUCCCAGCACUUUGGGAAGUUGAGGUGUGUAGAUUGCUUGAGCCCAGGAGUUUGAGAGCAGCCUGGGCAACAUGGCAAAACCACAUCUCUACAAAAUACAGAAAAGAAAAAAAAAAAAUCAGUCAGGUGUGGUGUUGCACACCUGUAGUCCCAGCAACCUGGAGGCUGAAGUGUGAGGAUUGCUUAAACCUAAGGAGAUAGAGGCUGCAAUGAGCUGCGAUUGUGCCACUGCACUCUACCUUGGGCAACAGAUGAAGACGCUGUCUCAAAAAAUAAGAAUAAAGAAAGAAAGAUGGGAAAAGAAUUUAUUUCUUUCCUUUUUUUUUUUUUUAGACAAGGUCUGGCUGGUCCCCCAGGCUGGAGUGCAGUGGUGCAAUCUUGGCUCACUGCAACCUCUGCCUCCCAGGUUCAAGUGAUUCUCCUGCCUCAACUUCCCGAGUAGCUGGUACUACAGGAGCAAGCCACCACACCCAGCUAAUUUUUGUAUUUUUAGUAGAGCCGGAGUUUCACCAUGUCGGCUAGGCUGGUCUCGAACUCCUGACCUCAAGUGAUCUGCCCACCUCGGCCUCCGAAAGUGCUGGGAUUACAGGUGUGAGCCACUGAACCUGGCCUUUUUUUGCUGCUGUUGUUGUUCGUUUUGUUUUGUUUUUGUUUUUGUUUUGAGAUGGAGUCUCGCUCUGUCACCCAGCCUGGAGGGCAGUGGCUCAAUUUUGGCUCACUGCCACUUCUGCCUCCUGGGUUCCAGUGAUCCUCCUGCCUCAGCCUGCUGAGUAGCUGAGACUACAGCCGAGACACCACCAUGCCUGGCUAAUUUUUUUUUUUUAAGUAGAGAUGGGGUUUCAGCAUUUUGGCCAGGCUGAUCGUGAACUCCUGACCUCAAGUGAUCUGCCCACUGCACCUGGCCUUUUUUUCUUUUUUUUUUAAUAGAGAUGAGUACAAUGGACUUUAGGGACUCAGGGUAAAGGGUGGGAAGGGGGUGAAGGAUAAAAGACUACACAUUGGGUACAGUGUGCACUGCAUAGGUGGUAGGUGCACCAAAAUCUCAGAAAUCACCACUAAACGACCUAUUCCUAUAACCAAACACCACCUGUUCCCCAAAAACCUAUUGGAAAAAAAAAAACUCACGUAAGUAAAUAAAUAGAGGCCAGGAGCAGUGGCUCACACCUGUAAUCCCAGCACUUUGGGAGGCCGAAGUGGGCAGAUCACCUGAGGUUGGGAGUUUGAGACCAGCCUGGCCAACAUGGAGAAAUCCUGUCUCUACUAAUAAUACAAAAAUUAGGUGGGCAUGGUGGCACAUGCCUGUAAUCCCAGCUACUUGGGAGGCUGAGGCAGGAGAAUCACUUGAACCUGGGAGAUGGAGGUUGCAGUGAGCAAAGAUCACCCCAUUGCACUCCAGCCUGGGUGACGAGCGAAACUCCAUCAAAAGAAGAAAAAAAAGAAAGGAAAGAAAGAUGCGGUCUGGUGGUGCUGCCCAGGCUGGAGUGCAGUGGCUAUUCAUAGGUAUGAUCAUAGUGCACUGCAGCCUCAAGACUCUUGGGUUCCAGUGGUCCUCCUGCCUCAGCCUCCUGUGUAGCUGGUACUACAGGCUACAGCUAAACUGCUCAGUUCCUCAGUCCUUCUUCAUCUCCCACAGUGGAUACAGAGCGUGGCAGCCCCCUCUCAGGAAGUCAUGGAUCUUUAUGGCUGGCAGGACUGUAAAGUCACCCAGUUCAGCCCCUCAUUUACAUAUAAGGAAACAGUCCUAUAGAGAAGGCGUGCCUUUUUAAGUCACACAUUUGAGCAAAUAAAUAAUUAUCUCCUCACACAUUUAAGAUUGCUAUUACAUCCUUUUCUCUAGAACUUUUAACCUUUCAUCCACUCAGAAUGCUUGCCUGGACCCUCUCCAAUUUCUCAAUAUCUUUCUUUUUUUUUUUUUUUUUUUUUUUUUUUUGGAGACGGAGGCUUGCUCCGUCACCUAGACUGGAGUGCAGUGGCAUGAUCUUGGCUCACUGCAACCUCUGCCUCCCAGGUUCAAGUAAUUCUCCUGCCUCAGCCUCUCAAGUAGCUGGGAUUACAGGCGCCCACCACCACGCCCGGCUAAUUUUUGUAUUUUUAAUGGAGACGGGGUUUCACCUUGUUGGCCAGGCUGGUCUCAAACUCCUGACCUCAAGUGAUCCACCCACCUCAGCUUCCCAAAGUGCUGGAAUUACAGGCGUGAGCCCUCGCGCCCAGUUCAACAUCUUUCUUAAGUGGGCCCAAGGUUGGGGGGAAAAUCUCACCGUAGAGAUAUUUGUUAGAUAUCGAGCAUGUGCUGAAGAAGGCAUCUGUGAUGAUUAAUUUUAUGUGUCAGUUGGACUGGACCAUGGGGUGCCCAGAUAUCAGCUUGAACAUUACUCUGGGUCCAUCUGUGAGGGCGUGGGGUAGGACUGGCAUUUAUGUUGGUGGAGCAAGUAAAGCAGGCUGCCUCCCUAACGCAGGGGAUCCUCAUCCAUCAGCUGAGGGCCCAAAUAGAACAAAAGGCUGAGUUGGAGGGCGCCCCUCCUGCAUGACCAACUUUCAAGUGGUGACAUCAGCUUUCUUCCUGUUUUUGGACUUGAACUGAAACAUCAGCUCUUCCUGGAUCUUCAGCCUGCUGGCCUUCAGACUAGAACUACAACCUCGGCUCUCCUGGGUCUCGGCUUGCUGACUCACCCUGCAGAACUUGGGACUUGUCAGCCUCUACAUUUGUAUGAGCCAAUUCCUUAUAAUGUCUUUCUGUAUAUAUACAUAUAUCUCCACAUCUUAUUGUUCUGCUUCUCUGGAGAACCCUGAGUAAUACAGCAUCAUUCCAAGAUCAGCAGAAAUGUUAGUGCUUCUGGGGAAUUACUGCAAAGGGUACCUGAAUAGCAGCACAUGCUCUCAGUACCCCCGCCUUCUGUUGUCUGCUGUUGCCUGCUCCCUCCCCACCCUUUGGGUUGAUUUCAGGAUAGAGAUAUGGGGAUGGGACUGGGGUUGGGUGUGCGGUUACCCAGAACAGCCAGGAUGUGUGCACGCUGUGACCCAGGAGCAUCAAGCACUGCUCAAGCUGCUUGGAAAAGAAAACAAAAGUCAGGAAAGUGAGGAGCUGGGAGGGUGCUGGAAAGGAGCAGGAAGAAACGGGCAAGGGUAGGAGAGAAGCAGAAAAAACAAUCCCUGAGACAGAGCUGGUGUAACCAAGGCUCUGUUUCCCCCACGGUUUGAGAGUGGGUGAGCCUGACUUCAAGGCCCAGCUCUGUUCAAAGAUAGGACACUGAUUUUCUUCAAGAAGGCAGAGCUGGUGAGUGGCCUCAUGUCUUACCAUCAUGGAAAGGCGAGGGCUGGGGGAGAGAGAAGGGGCAGCCAAGGCCUCAGAGUGGUGUAGGCCUCACCCUUGUGCUCACAUGUCCCAACCACUGCCAGCGGUGCCACCUCUGAAUCCCAGACCCCACAUGUAACCAUCCUCUACCUGGACCACAGGAGGAAGCUCCACGUUCUUUGCCAGGGUUCAGGGUAAGGGGCAUGAUCUAAGUUGGGCAAAAGAGAGUCAUCCUGUUACCUUAAAAAGGAGUCUAGGGUGAGCCCCAGUCUGCUGGUGGCCAUCUUCACCACCUUUGGGGAGAGAUGGCCUGAGCAGACACACAAAGCAAAGAGGUGGAGAGAAACUGUGUCUUUGUGUCAUUGUUUGAGUCCCUGGACCCAGCCCAGUCCCCCCGACUACGCUGAACUUUUCAAUUGUGGAAAACAAUAAAUUCCAUUUAGUUAAGAAAUUUUCAGUUCUGGGUCUUGCAGCUGUGAGCAUUCUGACAACCUUGAUGUUCCAGGCCCUCCUGGGCUAGGUCCAUGAGCUAAUUGCUUGCCCUGCACCUCCAGUGGGAAGGAGCUGCUCACAUCAACUCAGUGUUCCCCAAAGCCACGCCCUUCCUUUCCUGCUUUCACACCACUGCCUACACCAUGCUCUCAUGAAGGCCUGCCCCUUCUCCAAGGCCCAGAUCAAGUCUCUUCUUUAGGAAGUGUUCCUUGGCUAUCACGUUUCGGUGUCAUCAGGUUUCCUCUUUCCUGGUGGCUGGAUUGGAAGGCCUUAGAGGGCAAGGAUCAUAUGUGUUAGAAUUUCUGCAUCCUCCACAAGGCACUUGUGUUCAGUGUAUUUGCUGAAUGAAUGUCACAUUAAAAAGCGUGACCCAGCCGGGUGUGGUGGCUCAUGCCUGUAAUCCCAGCUUUUUGGGAGGCCAAGGCAGGCGGAUCACCUGAGGUCAGGAGUUCAAGACCAGCUUGGCAAACAUGGUGAAACCCCAUUCUCUACUAAAAAAUACAAAAAUUAGCCAGGCAUGGUGGUGUGCGCCUGUAAUUCCAGCUACUCAGGAGGCUGAGGCAGGGGAAUUGCUUGAACCCAGAGGUGGAGAUUGCAGUGAGCCAAGAUCGCACCACUGCACUCCAGCACUCCAGAGCGCACUCUUGUCCACUCGCAACAGAGUGAGACUCCACCUUAAAAAAAAAUAAAAACAACAACACGACUCCUGGCCUAAUGGACUGAUAAGGUAAACAAGAAGAAAGACACAGGCCUGUACACAUAAUAGAAAUUGGGUGUGUACCAGCCUGGGCAACAUGGC